rnacentral:tmRNA from 1 species
GGGGACGUACUGGAAUCGACAGGAAAGUCGGUUGCAAAGUAAGCAUGCCGGAGGAUGAUAUCUCACUCCGUCAAAAAAUGGAUAUCAAACCAAUUUUACAUGGCAACUCUUAUGGUUUUGCCAUGGCUGCCUAAGACGAGAGUCUUAGAAGCCAUUGUGCGCGCGCUUGACGCCUGAUACACAGCGUGUCGCGCAUCGUAACCCUCAGGCUAUACCUUUUGGAGCCGCUCCGGCCAAAAGGCGAACACUCAGGAGCUAAGGCAGUGGUUGCGGUCUGUCCCGAUACCCACCCGCUGCCCGAAAAUCUAAAUCGGGACUAAGCAUGUAGAAAGCUUUGUAACGCUUUCUCUGGACGCGGGUUCGACUCCCGCCGUCUCCACAA